GUUCUGAUGGCCUAGUGGUUAGAGCGUCCGCCUCGGAUACGGGAAGUCGCUGGUACGAACCCGGGCCGAAUCAUACCA